rnacentral:rRNA from 1 species
GUUAUAUAGUCAAGCAACUAAGCGCAUACGGUGGAUGCCUUGGCAGUCAGAGGCGAUGAAAGACGUGGAAGCCUGCGAUAAGGCUCGGGGAGCUGGCAAACAAGCUGUG